GGUUGUGUAGUGUAGUGGUUAUCACACCGGUUUUUGAAGUGAUGCCUUUAGUCUACCGGUAUCCAGGGUUCGAAUCCCUGCAUGACCU
rfam:Aspergillus sydowii CBS 593.65 ASPSYscaffold_7_Cont319, whole genome shotgun sequence.